ACCCAAGGGGCUUACAACCUGGACUACUGGGUGACGUCAUACAAGCUGGCGUUCUCUGCGAAUGGCCAAACAUGGACACCGUACGUAAACGGCACCGGGCACAGCGAGGUUUUCCAAGGAAACAACGACAACCAUCGGUAUGCUCGCAACCUGCUGGACAACCCUGUUCUUGCACAAUACACCCGAAUCUACCCGCUCACCUUCCACGGGCGGGUUGCACUGAGGGUCGAGGUACUCGUCGAAGAUGGUUCCGGUUGUGCAUCUGACGAGGUCCUCUGUAACGGGACAUGUCGACCGAAGGAAAGUUUCUGUCCUUCUUUUGCCGGAUGUGUGCCGGAGCGCUUUAACUAUGGAGACGAGUAACUACAC